CUGUGCUUGCCCGGGGNUUCUGGCGACGGGUGAGUACACGUGAGUACCUGCCCUUAACUCUGGGAUAAGCCUGGGAAACUGGGUCUAAUACCGGAUAUGACUCCUCAUCGCAUGGUGGGGGGUGGAAAGCUUUAUUGUGGUUUUGGAUGGACUCGCGGCCUAUCAGCUUNGUUGGUGAGGUAAUGGCUUACCAAGGCGACGACGGGUAGCCGGCCUGAGAGGGUGACCGGCCACACUGGGACUGAGACACGGCCCAGACUCCUACGGGAGGCAGCAGUGGGGAAUAUUGCACAAUGGGCGCAAGCCUGAUGCAGCGACGCCGCGUGAGGGAUGACGGCCUUCGGGUUGUAAACCUCUUUCAGUAGGGAAGAAGCGAAAGUGACGGUACCUGCAGAAGAAGCGCCGGCUAACUACGUGCCAGCAGCCGCGGUAAUACGUAGGGCGCAAGCGUUAUCCGGAUUUUUUG
rnacentral:rRNA from 1 species